UGCGCUGAAGAUAGAAGUGCCUAAAAUAUAGUAAUUGCUCAAUAAAUGUUAUUAUUGUUUUUAUAUUUUAGUUCAAACAACCAUCCUAUGAGUACAGUUCAUUUUUUUUUUUUUUUCAGUUCACAGAUGUAAAAACUAAGGAUUUAGGAGGUUAAGGACUUUCCUGUGAUUCCCCAGGUAAUAAGUGACAAAUUAGAAUUUCAGCCCAGGUCUGUUUGAUUCCAGAGGCCAAAUUGUUAACCAUUAUGUUGUAUUCUCUACUAUAGUUAGAGAUCUAAGAAGCUCACCAAAUAAAUCGAUGACAACUCUGGAUUAUUUUUGAGCUAGGUUCAUAGAACUAAAGCCUUAGAGGCCUUAUCAAGGCACACCUGUUUUUUGUUCUCUAGCCAUUCAGUUAGUCAUAAAAAAAGUCAAGGUAUUAAAUACUUGGACUUGCAAGGCAUAAUACUACUUUUCAGGUUAACACCUUUGAUCUAGAUUCACAGAUUUUUGUUUUUGUUCUCCUUAAACUCCAGGCCAAGAAAAACAACAGAGGAUCUUUGGAAGGAGACAGAAACCAACUGAAACAAGGCUCCAUUCUGGAGAUUUUCUAUGCUCCCAAAUCCCUCCAUCACAAAGGUCAUGAUCUCGAAGUUUGCAGAAUCUAACCACUGCUAGGAAUGAAGCCUGCUUGGGAUUCUCUCCCCCUCACUCUCUGUCCCCCCUCUCCCCCCGCUUGCAUGCUGGAGCUUGCCCUCUCUCUC